UACGUAGGCAGCGAGCGUUGUUCGGAGUUACUGGGCGUAAAGGGUGCGUAGGCGGGUCUUUAAGUCAGGGGUGAAAUCCUGGAGCUCAACUCCAGAACUGCCUUUGAUACUGAAGAUCUUGAGUUCGGGAGAGGUGAGUGGAACUGCGAGUGUAGAGGUGAAAUUCGUAGAUAUUCGCAAGAACACCAGUGGCGAAGGCGGCUCACUGGACUGGUAUUGACGCUGAGGUGCGAAAGCGUGGGGAGCAAACAGG
rnacentral:rRNA from 1 species